rnacentral:rRNA from 1 species
AUUGAACGCUGGCGGCAGGCUUAACACAUGCAAGUCGAGCGGAGCGAGGGUGCUUGCACCUUAGCUUAGCGGCGGACGGGUGAGUAAUGCUUAGGAAUCUGCCUAUUAGUGGGGGACAACAUUCCGAAAGGAAUGCUAAUACCGCAUACGCCCUACGGGGGAAAGCAGGGGAUCUUCGGACCUUGCGAUAAUAGAUGAGCCUAAGUCGGAUUAGCUAGGUGGUGGGGUAAAGGCCUACCAAGGCGACGAUCUGUAGCGGGUCUGAGAGGAUGAUCCGCCACACUGGGACUGAGACACGGCCCAGACUCCUACGGGAGGCAGCAGUGGGGAAUAUUGGACAAUGGGCGGAAGCCUGAUCCAGCCAUGCCGCGUGUGUGAAGAAGGCCUUUUGGUUGUAAAGCACUUUAAGCGAGGAGGAGGAGCUCUAGGUUAAUACCCUAGAUGCUUGGACGUUACUCGCAGAAUAAGCACCGGCUAACUCUGUGCCAGCAGCCGCCGUAAAAC